UAAUGUAUGGGGAUCUGCCCGAUAGAGGGGGGUAACUACUGGAAACGGUGGCUAAUACCGCAUAAUGUCUACGGACCAAAGCAGGGGCUCUUCGGACCUUGCACUAUCGGAUGAACCCAUAUGGGAUUAGCUAGUGGGUGGGGUAAAGGCUCACCUAGGCGACGAUCUCUAGCUGGUCUGAGAGGAUGAUCAGCCACACUGGGACUGAGACACGGCCCAG
rnacentral:rRNA from 1 species